GAUGAACGCUGGCGGCGUGCCUAAUACAUGCCAGUCGAGCGAACAGACGGGGAGCUUGCUCCUCUGACGUUAGCGGCGGACGGGUGAGUAACACGUGGAUAACCUACCUAUAAGACUGGGAUAACUUCGGGAAACCGGAGCUAAUACCGGAUAAUAUAUUGAACCGCAUGGUUCAAUAGUGAAAGACGGUUUUGCUGUCACUUAUAGAUGGAUCCGCGCCGCAUUAGCUAGUUGGUAAGGUAACGGCUUACCAAGGCAACGAUGCGUAGCCGACCUGAGAGGGUGAUCGGCCACACUGGAACUGAGACACGGUCCAGACUCCUACGGGAGGCAGCAGUAGGGAAUCUUCCGCAAUGGGCGAACGCCUGACGGAGCAACGCCGCGUGAGUGAUGAAGGUCUUCGGAUCGUAAAACUCUGUUAUUAGGGAAGAACAAAUGUGUAAGUAACUAUGCACGUCUUGACGGUACCUAAUCAGAAAGCCACGGCUAACUACGUG
rnacentral:rRNA from 1 species